rfam:Callithrix jacchus chromosome 6, whole genome shotgun sequence
GGGGGUGUAGCUCAAUGGUAGAGCACAUGCUUAGCAUGCAUGAAGCCCUGGGUUCAAUCCCUGGCAGCUCCA